UACGUAGGGUGCAAGCGUUGUCCGGAAUUAUUGGGCGUAAAGAGCUCGUAGGCGGUUUGUCACGUCUGCUGUGAAAACUGGAGGCUCAACCUCCAGCUUGCAGUGGGUACGGGCAGACUAGAGUGCGGUAGGGGAGAUUGGAAUUCCUGGUGUAGCGGUGAAAUGCGCAGAUAUCAGGAGGAACACCGGUGGCGAAGGCGGGUCUCUGGGCCGAUACUGACGCUGAGGAGCGAAAGCGUGGGGAGCGAACAGG
rnacentral:rRNA from 1 species